rnacentral:rRNA from 1 species
UUAUUCGUAGAGUUUUGAUCAGGCUCAGAUUGAACGCUGGCGGCAGGCCUAACACAUGCAAGUCGAGCGGAUGACGGGAGCUUGCUCCUUGAUUCAGCGGCGGACGGGUGAGUAAUGCCUAGGAAUCUGCCUGGUAGUGGGGGACAACGUUUCGAAAGGAACGCUAAUACCGCAUACGUCCUACGGGAGAAAGCAGGGGACCUUCGGGCCUUGCGCUAUCAGAUGAGCCUAGGUCGGAUUAGCUAGUUGGUGGGGUAAUGGCUCACCAAGGCGACGAUCCGUAACUGGUCUGAGAGGAUGAUCAGUCACACUGGAACUGAGACACGGUCCAGACUCCUACGGGAGGCAGCAGUGGGGAAUAUUGGACAAUGGGCGAAAGCCUGAUCCAGCCAUGCCGCGUGUGUGAAGAAGGUCUUCGGAUUGUAAAGCACUUUAAGUUGGGAGGAAGGGCAGUAAGUUAAUACCUUGCUGUUUUGACGUUACCGACAGAAUAAGCACCGGCUAACUCUGUGCCAGCAGCCGCGGUAAUACAGAGGGUGCUAGCGUUAAUCGGAAUUACUGGGCGUAAAGCGCGCGUAGGUGGUUUGUUAAGUUGGAUGUGAAAGCCCCGGGCUCAACCUGGGAACUGCAUCCAAAACUGGCAAGCUAGAGUACGGUAGAGGGUGGUGGAAUUUCCUGUGUAGCGGUGAAAUGCGUAGAUAUAGGAAGGAACACCAGUGGCGAAGGCGACCACCUGGUCGAUACGACACUAGGUCAAGAGUGCCC